UAACACGUAGGGAACCUGCCUGCAUGAGCGGGAGAACUUCUGGAAACGGAAGCUGAUACCGGAUGAGCAAAGAGGAGGCAUCUUCUUUUUGGAAAAGGGGACAAGAGUCCCGCAUGCAGAUGGACCUGCGGUGCAUUAGCUGGUUGGAGAGGUAACGGCUCACCAAGGCGACGAUGCAUAGCCGGCCUGAGAGGGCGGACGGCCACACUGGGACUGGGACACGGCCCAGACUCCUGCGGGAGGCAGCAGUAGGGAAUUUUCGUCAAUGGGGGGAACCCUGAACGAGCAAUGCCGCGUGAGCGAGGAAGGUCUUCGGAUCGUAAAGCUCUGUUGCCGGGGACAAAAGGCAGAAAGAGUGGAAAGCUUUCUGAGUGAUGGUACCCGGCGAGGAAGUCACGGCUAACUACGUGCCAGCAGCCGCGGUAAUACGUAGGUGGCGAGCGUUAUCCGGAAUGAUUGGGCGUAAAGGGUGCGCAGGCGGCCGGGCAAGUCCGCAGUAAAAACUGGAGGCUCAACCUUCAGGGGCUGCGGAAACUGUCCGGCUGGAGAGCAGGAGAGGACGGUGGAACUCCAUGUGUAGCGGUAAAAUGCGUAGAUAUAUGGAAGAACACCGGUGGCGAAGGCGGCCGUCUGGCCUGCAUCUGACGCUGAGGCACGAAAGCGUGGGGAGCAAAUAGGAUUAGAUACCCUAGUAGU
rnacentral:rRNA from 1 species